CGGCGGACGGGUGAGUAACGCGUGGGUAACCUGCCUCAUACAGGGGGAUAACAGUUGGAAACGGCUGCUAAUACCGCAUAAGCGCACAGUACCGCAUGGUACGGUGUGAAAAACUCCGGUGGUAUGAGAUGGACCCGCGUCUGAUUAGCUAGUUGGUGAGGUAACGGCCUACCAAGGCGACGAUCAGUAGCCGGCCUGAGAGGGUGAACGGCCACAUUGGGACUGAGACACGGCCCAA
rnacentral:rRNA from 1 species